AAAAAAAUUACAAUAACAUGAAGUUAAAUUAACUUAAAAUGUUAAAAAAAAAAAAAAAGAAAAACCUUCUAUGAAAUUAUCACAUAAAAUUAUAUAAAUCUCGAAUUUAGAGUUUAUACUAUAAGUGUGAUAGCUCGUCCCAAAUUAUUCGUACCGUAGGUGUGAAAUGAUAAUUUUGGACCUAGUGGUUAUGUUUCGUUUUGGUGUUUGUUUUGUGGGCUUGUUGGUUGCAUCUGGACCACACACACACUCUCAUCCUUAUCUCUUCCCGUAUACUUUCCCUGUCCCGUGUGUGUGUCUCUCUCUCCCUCUUCUUCUUCUUCGCACGAACAAGUACCAAAACCUGUGAAAACGUUGUAGAUCGAGGUGGAAAACUAUAUCUUUGUGUUCGUGAGGAUCAUACAAGUUCAACCAUAACCAUUUCAGGGAAUUUGAAGCUUGUAGGAAGCUUAGUGAGAUCCUUAGGAAGCUCGGGUUGGUUCGUUGGAAGGAUUUGGACGUCGGGAUCGUGAGUUGCAGGUUUGGCCGGAUUUUGUGAAGUUUCUCUGGCGAGAUUUCGUGAAUUUCAGGGCUUGAAAGUGUUGUUUCGCAUAUAGGUGAAAUUAUCCCGAGAACGAGCGUAGUCACUCGAGACAAGGGGGUUACGGCUCUUCCACAUACCAGUUCUAGUUUGGUUUGCUCUUUUGCUAGCUCUCGAGGAAUUCACGACAUAUCUGACAGAUUAUCACCAGUGUAGGACCCCCUCUAGGUGUGUUUAGUUAGUAUUUGUUCCUCUGGACUGGACUAGGUUUUCUGUGCUCUGAAUAUUGUUUUUCACACUUACGCUUACACAUGUAUGUUAACUACUCUGUGUGUAGUUUGAUUUUUAUUUGUUCGUACUUUUAUUAUUAUUCUUAGCUUCCGCACUGUGCACAUGGUUACGUCACCCUCAUGUGACGGCCAACAUGCCUAGAUUUCGGUCAGGGUGUGUCAAUAAGCCUCUUUAAGGCCAUCUCCAAUCGAUUCGGCCAGAGGGCCAAAAAUAGCUUGAAAUGACACAAAAACCGUUUCCAACCAUGGAUUAGGCCAAAUGGCUCGUGGGCCCCAACGGGCCAAAAGAGGGAAAACUGGCCAACCAAUUGGCCCAAAUGAGCCAGCCAACAAGCCCAGGGCUAGCCCAAGCAUUUGAAUCCAACAGCUACUUGGUGUCAACAUGACGCCAGCUAGCCAUGACCAUUAGAUUUGAAUUUUUUUUUUUCUUGAAUUUUUUUUUUU